GAUUCACACUGUCUUUCAGACUAGAGGGACAAAUAUGAUUUCACAGACUCAUCUCAUCUGGCUCCUAGUGCUCUGGAUUCAGGAUGCCAAGGGGCAGAUUGUGCUGACUCAGACUCCAGAAUCCCUGGCAGUGUCUCCAGGAGACAGAGUCACCAUCAACUGCAAAGCCAGUUCUAGUGCUGGCGGAUAUGUGGCCUGGUACCAACAGAAAUCAGGACAAGCUCCUAAGCUCCUUAUCUACGGCCCUUCCACCCGUCCCUCUGGGGUCCCAGACCGGUUCAGUGGCAGUGAGUCUGGCACUGACUUCACUUUUACAAUCAGCCAGGUAGAAGCUGAUGAUGCUGGAGAUUAUUAUUGACAGAGCUUACUUCUCACAGUGAUACAGACCAGAACAAAAACCUUCAUUCCAUUUCUGUUACUCAGUGUAACAG